rnacentral:rRNA from 1 species
UACGUAGGGUGCAAACGUUGCUCGGAAUCAUUGGGCGUAAAGCGCACGUAGGCGGCUUCUUAAGUCAGGGGUGAAAUCCUGGAGCUCAACUCCAGAACUGCCUUUGAUACUGAGAAGCUUGAGUCCGGGAGAGGUGAGUGGAACUGCGAGUGUAGAGGUGAAAUUCGUAGAUAUUCGCAAGAACACCAGUGGCGAAGGCGGCUCACUGGUCCGGUACUGACGCUGAGGUGCGAAAGCGUGGGGAGCAAACAGG